rnacentral:misc_RNA from 1 species
AAACAUAUUUUCCAACUCUGAAAUUCAAAGAUUCUACUCACUCAUAUUAGUAUUUAUAAGAGAAAUUAAUAGAAAAGUAAAGAAAAACAUGAUGAGAGGACUAAAAAUAGAGAAACCCAGGUAGAAGAACCCAAAAUUCUGAGUCUUGAAGCUUCCAGAAAUGGUUGUAGCAACUACUUUUCUUAAGAAUUGAUGGCGUCCUCCUCCCUCCUAUUUUUAUUAUCUUCCUUCCUUUCCUUCUUGUUGUUGCCUCUUUUGGCAAAAACUAAAAAAUGAUGCUUUUAUAUGGU